GAACAUGGCGGGACGAGUUAUGUGGCGGAACGAGUUAUUAUUUACUUAUUAGACGGGUGGCGAGCGCGGCGCCCAGUGAGGGGGUGUGAAAAUGAACUAAGGCCAGUCCGAAUAGAAAUUAAAAACGUGACUCCACAGCGCGGGUAGCUUCAUCGUACGGCUAACGAGAAGAUACGACCUCUUGAUUAAAGAAAUAUCUCUUUAAUUUCAACAUCGCACAAAUGUGAAAUAGAAGAAAGGUACGGAACACCGAAGGAACGAUAUCUUCGAUAGAAAUUGUCUCAAAUGUAUAGUCUACUGGUAACCAGAUACCGAGAGGUGGAUGCAUUUCUGCCUUAGUUUCUGUCCAAAGGAAUCUCCACCGAAGCUUCUCGCCAUUUCCUUUAGUUCCGCGUACUGUCUUCCACUGUGCCCAUUCACAAUCUCGCGUUGAAUGCAUUUUAGAUGUAUUUGCGAUAUGUGAUCUAAGAUUGCAACGUAAAUCGAAAUAGUAGAUAACGGUACGUUUGUAUUACUAUAUUAAGAAUUCUUUUUCUCUGUUUCUCUGAAUGAAAUGUGUCAUUUGUAUAAAAUUGAAACAUAGAAAGGGUUAAAAAUGUACAGGUAGAUUGAUAUUGUUUUCUAUAUUGAUUAAUUUGAUGUAAAACGAUUAUAUAAAAAAAUAUAAUAUAAGAAAUAGAAGAAAUAUGUUAUUUUUAAAUAUUAGUUACGUUAA